GGGCUGCACCGUCUCCUUGGGAGCCUAGUCCUCGCUUGCUGUUUUGUGGGGGCUUGGGGUUUUUUGGACACCUGAAAGCUGUGACAAGUGUGUCGAGAGCAGUAUUACAGAAGUACGUAUGACACCCCUUCAAAAUAUAACUGCUGUUGAGUAGAAGUCCUGAUUGUGACAGCGAAAAUGAAAUUUCCACCAAAUUUGGGCAGAAAUGGAGGCUGUUACCCAAAAUGUUUCAAUCUUUGCUUGAAAUAAAGUGAAACAGUUGUGUUUACUGUUGCUUAAAAUAUAAAUGGCAAGAUGUGCAACCACCUGUUGAUAAACAAAUGUCAGAAGUCAUAAAUCUAAGGAACAUGCUGGCACCUGUGCAGUACUUGGAAAAAGGAAUAAAUUUCACCAUAAGACUCUUGACUAGAUCAACAGGCUGAAGUGACCACUUCAUACUUGCCAUCUAGGCUUCCGCCUCCCCUUCCUCCCACGCAAUUUGCUUCUGGAUGCAUUGCAGGUGUUGAUCAUCUAUGAAGUCUCCUAACUGGUUUGGCAGUAAAUAAACUAGUGCCUUGAUCCUGCAUUGCAAUGCACAAAAAGACUCUUGACUUCAGCAGGGUUCUGACUGGGAAGAAGCAAUCUGUCUAAGAACUACAUGAAGUGGAAGAAAAGCAUAAUACAUAGAUAUGCUUUUAGCAUCAAGAUUAUGCUACAUAAACAAGAAAUUUACGUUGGUAUAAUGUGGAUGGCGUUUUACAAACAUGUAACUAUUAUAGAACCUUGCCCCAAGAACCAUAAAAAACUACCAAAUACUGCUCCAAUUGAAGUGCUAAAUUGAGCUUGAUACUGACUUUGUAUGAGAGCAGAACACAUUCUAAUAUCUGUACACUAGUAUAUAUCUACACAGCACUGCAUUGUACAUUAUUAAUUGUGCUAAUUAAUCUAAGUGGAUGACUGCAAAAAUGGUUAUACAGCUUCCAAGCUCUCGGCUUGUUUCCACAGCACAGUACUCUGAGACAUAACACAGCUAGGCAUACCUAUACACGUGCUCUGAUGUGUUCUAAUUAGAACAUGUCGGAGCACACUCAAUUAAUUGAGUCUUUUUCAAAUUCUAAUUAGAGUGCGCUAGCACUGCCACAGGAUCACAUGCAAAAAUGCUUGCUGGGGUGCUUCAACUAAUGCUCAUCGAAUGAACUUUAGUUAAAGCAUUUCAUGGCCAUUUUUAAAUGCAGAGGGUCUUAAUACACAUGACACUGAGGUGCUUUCCAGGAACCACUCGAAUUAAAAUGCAUCCCCCCACACCAGACCACAUGUACAGGGACCCAAGGUUAGGCAGAAGACAAUACAUUAUGUGGACAGGAUGCAAGGAUUGGAGAAGAGAAGCAAGUAUAACAAAAAAUGGGCAGGUUCAACCUGAAGCCUGAUACUUCAUGACAUUUGCCCAUUACACAGCACUACUGUGAACGUAGCUCUAAUUCUGUACUUCAUAUCCAGGAAAAAAAUUCCAUUGCAACCACUAGGAAUUUUCUGAUUAAAAACUAUGAGAUUAGGUCUUGGAGUAAGAUACCAUAAAGUGUUUGGAGAUAAGAAGACAACCACUUAUACUGAGGGACUAGGCAAAACAGCAGAGAAUCAAGCUUAGUCUGUUCUUGCUUUGCUACAAUCAAUUGAUUUGGUAUUUUUUUAACAUAAUACUAAUGGUCUUAAAAGGAUUUUUUUUCUCUGACUUUUUAAAAAGGAAACAAACUAGCAUGUAUACAACAAAUCUGAAGCGUUACCGUCUAAAAACUGACAACACACAUAAAAAUAAUAGAAAAUUAUAACAAUAAAUAUUAAAUAAUAAACAUAAUUAUGAAAGAAGGCAGACUACUGUGACAUGCUCAGUACUGUUCCUCAAGGUAACAUCUGAUUAGACUCUAAAACAAAUUAGGCAUCUGCUUAGAGUUUUUUAUUAUAUUUUGAAUUAAUGUACUGCAUAUGACCCAACAGUUGGAACAUCAGAAGUUUGCCACUUAAUCGUAGGACACCAAACAGGAAUACAAACUUCCUUGUUCUACCCACAUGUCACUGAAAAAGAAAAUACUAUUGUAUUCUUUCGUAACAGACUAAAAUGUGGUUGUGUUCCUAAUGUAAGACAAGAGUUUUGGACCAUUACUCUGGGAUAAGGAUUUUCUUUUUGUUUUGUAUUUCUACAGUUCAUUGUACUAUGGAGUUCUAGUCAAUUACUACAGUAUCUAAGUGCUACAAUAAUAUGGAUAAUAAGUAACAAAUAAUACUUUGAGUACUGCGGUCCUUUUCUUUGUGCUAGAGCACUGUUUGUACUCUAGGCAGUAGCUAUUGAAUACACAUCUUUAGCAUUAGAAGUAAUAAAAAAAAGAAUCAUUACUGUUGACUGAAUCCUGGAGAGAAAACCAUAGAAGUAAAAAAUAAAACAGUAAACCAGAGUCCCUUUAGCAUGCAGGCCAUUUGCCAGCUGCUUUUCACAGGAACGUUCAUUUCUGUUGUUUUCUUCAAAUGUAGAAAGAAGAUAAACAUUUUCUUAUUGCAAGUUAACAAACACUACCAUACAUGACAGGUUGAUAAGCACUAUCCAGAGUUGUAUUCGGAGCUUCUUAGGUCAUUUGAAAAAAAUUGGAAAUGCACUAAAGAGUUUUAA